rnacentral:rRNA from 1 species
UGCGCAGCAGUCGAGGAAUUUUGGACAAUGGGCGCAAGCCUGAUCCAGCCAUUCCGCGUGCAGGAUGAAGGCCUUCGGGUUGUAAACUGCUUUUGUACGGAACGAAAAGGCUCUGGUUAAUACCUGGGGCUCAUGACGGUACCGUAAGAAUAAGCACCGGCUAACUACGUGCCAGCAGCCGCGGUAAUACGUAGGGUGCAAGCGUUAAUCGGAAUUACUGGGCGUAAAGCGUGCGCAGGCGGUUAUGUAAGACAGGUGUGAAAUCCCCGGGCUCAACCUGGGAACUGCAUUUGUGACUGCAUAGCUAGAGUACGGCAGAGGGGGAUGGAAUUCCGCGUGUAGCAGUGAAAUGCGUAGAUAUGCGGAGGAACACCGAUGGCGAAGGCAAUCCCCUGGGCCUGUACUGACGCUCAUGCACGAAAGCGUGGGGAGCAAACAGGAUUAGAUACCCGGGUAGUCU